ACUCUCUCCACUCUGCACAGUUACACUAGUUGUGGUGUGACUUUCGUACAGGAGAGAGAAAGAAAAGAGCUCUUCAAAAGGACCUUGAACUGGCCUCAUGGUGGCCAUUCUUUCUUUGAGGGGCACUACAGGU
ensembl:snoRNA